GCAUAUCAAUAAGCGGAGGAAAAGAAACUAACAAGGAUUCCCUUAGUAACGGCGAGUGAAGAGGGAAGAGCUCAAAUUUUAAAUCUAUCAUGUUGUACAUGAUCGAGUUGUAAUUUGAAGAAGCGUUUUCUCGUACUUUAUGAUCAGUAUAAGUUCUCUUGGAACAGGACAUCAUAGAGGGUGAUAAUCCCGUCUGUUACUGAUUGUGAGGUUCGUUUAUGAUACGCUUUCAAAGAGUCGAGUUGUUUGGGAUUGCAGCUCCAAAUGGGUGGUAAACAUCACCUAAGGCUAAAUAUUUGCGAGAGACCGAUAGCGAACAAGUACCGUGAGGGAAAGAUGAAAAGAACUUUGAAAAGAGAGUUAAAAAGUAUGUGAAAUUGUUGAAAGGGAAACGAUUGAAGUCAGUCGUGCAGUCAUCAAUUCAGCGGUUAACAUUUUAUGUUUCCGUGUAAUUUGGUGUCUGUUGGUUGGCAUCAAUUUUGAUUGUUAUAAAAAGGUUAAGGGGAUGUGGCUCCUUCGGGAGUGUUAUAACCCUUAGCGUAAUGUGACGAUUAGGAUUGAGGUUUGCAACGAAUACCUUUUAGGGCAGUUUCACCUGGCCUCUCGUGGAAUUAUAGAUAGUUAAGAGCAUGCUCUUACUGUUUAUGAUUCUACGAAAAGGUUGGAGUGUAAAACUAAUUCGUUAAGGAUGUUGACGUA
rnacentral:rRNA from 1 species